CACGAUCACAGCUCCAUCUCGUGGACCAACGUUCUAAACCGCUCACAACACGUGGGCUCCUGGGUCCUAAAGCCCUCCGCUCAGAGGAAUGCAUGAUUUUGUAUUAAUAUGGGUUUGUACAGCAGUGGAAAGGCUUUAGCUUCUGGAGUCUACCUCUAGGCAACCUUAGGCAAGGUCCCUAAGCACCCAGCGCUCGUUAACGGAAUUCAUAUGAACAUAAAUUACUAGCCGGAAAACCCUUUGGAGGAAUUAUACCUCGGACCGUGAAGAAUUGGCAAGUUGGAUUUUCUCCUGCUCCAACGUGACCCGCCCUGGUUUGAAACAAUUCCCUUAUUGUUUAACCUGAGUGUGGUGGCCUGUUUUCAUGCUGAAAUGUGCCUCGCUAGUUUAAGGCUGCGAUUGUUCUGUUGUACUUUGCGUGCAGCCAAAUGUUUAAAAUGUGGUUCUGCUCCCAGAUAAACAAAAACAAACAAA
ensembl:lncRNA